GACGCGCAGCAGCAAAUAUGAUAUUCGAACCCCCACUUCCCAAUAUGGCUACCACACUCGGCUCCAUCAAUGUCGUCUUCCCGUAGCUAGUGCUUUUUACAUUCUCAGUUUGGGACUCUCAAAUCUCUACCACACUCGGCUCCAUCUCUACUUGGCCCUUUCUCUCUUCCUCCAUGCUACGACGUCAUCUUCUCACAGCCUGUGCAUUUUGCAUUCUCAGUUUGGGACUCUCAAAUCUUUAUACACCGUUAUAUUCCUUUGCCCUCAAAAUGGGGUGCGUUCAAUCUCUUUUUUGGUACUCGCUACACCAUCCACAUAACUCACUUUUUAUAAAUUUCUCUCGAUUCAAUUCAAUUCAAUUGUCUCUGUUUCAAAUCCAAAUUGGGUGUCUACACCAAGUCUGCCAUCAGAAUGCAAGCAGGUAAGAACUUGGCUGAAAGCAUUGUCUAAGAGAAGCUUGCAGCUUGUGUCAACAGGGUACCAGUGAAAGGAAGUUUGGAUCAUACGUGACUUUAAAUAAAUAAAUGUGUCCAAUAAUUUCAUCCAAGGU